rnacentral:rRNA from 1 species
AGUGAACGCUGGCGGUAGGCCUAACACAUGCCAGUCGAACGGCAGCACAGUAAGAGCUUGCUCUUACGGGUGGCGAGUGGCGGACGGGUGAGGAAUACAUCGGCAUCUACUUUUUCGUGGGGGAUAACGUAGGGAAACUUACGCUAAUACCGCAUACUACCUACGGGUGAAAGCAGGGGAUCUUCGGACCUUGCGCGAUUGAAUGAGCCGAUGUCGGAUUAGCUAGUUGGCGGGGUAAAGGCCCACCAAGGCGACGAUCCGUAGCUGGUCUGAGAGGAUGAUCAGCCACACUGGAACUGAGACACGGUCCAGACUCCUACGGGAGGCAGCAGUGGGGAAUAUUGGACAAUGGGCGCAAGCCUGAUCCAGCCAUACCGCGUGGGUGAAGAAGGCCUUCGGGUUGUAAAGCCCUUUUGUUGGGAAAGAAAAGCAGCAGGUUAAUACCCCGCUGUUCUGACGGUACCCAAAGAAUAAGCACCGGCUAACUUCGUG